UACGAAGGGGGCUAGCGUUGCUCGGAAUUACUGGGCGUAAAGGGCGCGUAGGCGGACAUUUAAGUCGGGGGUGAAAGCCCAGGGCUCAACCCUGGAAUUGCCUUCGAUACUGGAUGUCUUGAGUUCGGGAGAGGUGAGUGGAAUGCCGAGUGUAGAGGUGAAAUUCUUAGAUAUGACACAGAACACCAAUUGCGAAGGCAGCUCGCUAAACUGUAACUGACGCUGAGGCACGAAAGCGUGGGGAUCAAACAGG
rnacentral:rRNA from 1 species